AUUGAACGCUGGCGGCAGGCCUAACACAUGCAAGUCGAGCGGAUGAAGGGAGCUUGCUCCUGGAUUCAGCGGCGGACGGGCGAGUAAUGCCUACGAAUCUGACUUGCAGAGGGGGAUAACGUCCGGUAACGGGCGCUAAUCCCGCAUACGUCCUGAGGUAGAAAGUGGGGGAUCUUCGGACCUCACGCUAUCAGAUGAGCCUAGGUCGGAUUAGCUAGUUGGUGGGGUAAAGGCCUACCAAGGCGACGAUCCGUAGCUGGUCUGAGAGGGUGAUCAGUCACACUGGAACUGAGACACGGUCCAGACUCCUACGGGAGGCAGCAGUGGGGAAUAUUGGGCAAUGGGCGAAAGCCUGACCGAGCCAUGCCGCGUGUGUGAAGAAGGUCUUCGGAUUGUAAAGCUCUGUUAGUAGGGAGGAACGGCAGUAAGUGAAUACCUUGCUGUCUUGACGUUACCAACAGAAAAAGCACCGGCUAACUUCGUG
rnacentral:rRNA from 1 species